rnacentral:rRNA from 1 species
UACAGAGGGGGCAAGCGUUGUUCGGAAUUACUGGGCGUAAAGGGCGCGUAGGCGGCCUUCUAAGUCGAACGUGAAAUCCCCGGGCUCAACCCGGGAACUGCGUCCGAUACUGGAAGGCUUGAAUCCGGGAGAGGGAUGCGGAAUUCCGAGGUGUAGCGGUGAAAUGCGUAGAUAUCUGGAGGAACACCGGUGGCGAAGGCGGCAUCCUGGACCGGCAUUGACGCUGAGGCGCGAAAGCCAGGGGAGCAAGCGGGG